CUGUAUUCUGUGUCUACUUAUUAGCUAUGAUAUGUUGUUUAGGAAUAACAAAGGACACUUCUUUUUCUGGGCAGUUUUUUGACCCAGGUCUGUACAUCAACAUGUAAUUGAACCAAGUUAAGAAAACAGAUCAAAGAACUUGUUUAGCUGAUAGUCGUUUAGCUUCUCCUAUAUAAGAUAAUUGUUUGUGAUCUAUUAAGAUGAUUAUAGGAUGCAAAGUCCUUCCAACAGGUGUUUCCAUUCUUUCAAAGCCAAUAUGAUUGCAAGCAAGUCCAUGUCUCCUAUGUCCUAUCUUUUUUCAGUGUUAGACAACUUUUUAGACUAGAAUCCACAGGAUACACUAUUGCUCCUGUACCUGUCUCAGAGGCAUCUACCCUUUAGUAGAAAUGGUAAGUUAGUGUCAGGAUGAACCAAUAUGGGAGCCGAUGCAAAUGAUUCCUUUAGGGUUUCGAAAGCAUCAGAUGUCCACAUUUUGGAAUUAGCACCUUUUUUAGUCACACUGGUGAUAGGCGCUACUAUAGACAAAAACCUCUUUAUAAUACGUCUAUAGUAGUUGGAAAAACCUAUGAAUCUUUGUAUCACUUUAAGCCCAUUGGGUAAAGGCCACUUGAGUAUGGUUUCUAACUCUGUAGGGUCAACAGCAAAACCAUUUCCCGAUAUGAUAUAUCUGAGAAAACAAAUUUGCGACUGAUCAAAAAGACAUUUCUCCAAAUUACAUAAAAAGCCGUUUUGUAGAAGUCUGUUUAGAACCUUUUUCAUCUGUUAAUGAUGUGUUUCUUUGUUCUUGUCAUAAAUCAAGCUAUCAUCAUUAAUCAGAUCUUGGAAGACAGCCGGAGGGUUACAUUGCCCAAAAGUCAUCACAGUGUACUCAUAGUGGCCAUUUUGGGUAUUGAAGGUUUAUUCAUCCCCUUUGCAAAUUUUGAUCAAAUUAUAUGCCCCUCUCAGAUCUAAUUUGGUGAACACUGUGGAACCAUUUAAUCUGUCCAAAAACUCUGUUAUCAAAGAUAUCGAAUAAGCAUUUCUUACAUUGAUCUUAUGCAAUCCUCAAUAAUCUAUGCAAGGUCUAAGAUCUCCUUUUUUAGAGACAAAGAAAAAUCCUGCCCCAGCUAAAGAAGACAACCUUCAAAUGAAAUCUUUUUUAAAAUUUUCCUUUAUGUAUUCCUGUAAUACUAUGUUUCUCCCCUUAAAUUCACUUGAGAAAGCCCUAAGGGGAGAAAAGUGUUGUGGUUUUUUAAUUGCUGUAUUUUAUUAAAAGUAUUUUGACCAUAUAGACCUCUUACAAAAUAGUACUUGGUACCUGUUGGGAUAUACUGCACCAUUAUUUGCUGUCUUUUUAUUUUUUCAUACGGAUAUCACGAAUAUCCCAUGCCCAUACCUUACUGAGGAAUACUAUACCUGACAAGAUUGUGAUUGACUUCUUAUACAAUGUUUUAUUUUGACUUUUUGCUGUAUUUAUCAGGCAUAGACUUUUUU